UUUUUUUUUUUUUUUUUUUUUUUUGUAUUUUUAGUGGAGACGGGGUUUCACUCUGUUAGCCAGGACGGUCUCGAUCUUCUGACCUCGUGAUCUGCCUGCCUUGGCCUCCCAAAGUGCUGGGAUUACAGGUGUGAGCCACUGCGCCUGGCCAUAUGUGUGUAUACGUUAGUCCAUUUCACACUAUUGACAAAGACAUACCCAAGUCUGAGCAAUUUACAAAAGAAAGAGGUUUAAUGGACUCACAAUUCUACGUGGCUGGGGAGGCCUCACAAUCAUGGCAGAAGGUGAAAGACAUGUCUCACAUGGUGGCAGACAAGAGAAUAGAGGUUGUGCAGGAAAACUCCCCUUAUAAAACCAUCAGAUCUCAUGUGAGUUAUUCACUAUCACAAGAACAGCACAGGAAAGACCCACCCCCAUGAGUCAAUUACCUCCCACUGGGUCCCUCCCACAACAAUUGGGAGCUACAAUUCAAGAUGAGAUUUGGGUGGGGACACAGUCAAACCAUAUCAAUAUAGCAUUAAAUGUUGUUUACACAAGUUAAAACAUAUCACAUAGUUUAACUUUUAAAAACUAAUUGAUUUUACAAGGUUCUUCAUUGUCUUAUUAUGCUGUGAUUUUACUCUCUUGCCAGCCAACAAAUUAGUCUGUCACAAUCUUACAAACACCAGCUGAGGACACAAGAUUCCAAGGUCAGAAACAACAGCCUUCAUUACUCAUCAUAAAAGUAGUAACAACAGUGUCAGAAUUUGUGCCUAUUCCCCACCAUAAUUUCUCAGGGACAUAAUGCUCUAAAUGACACCUACACAUUCAUGGGAUUGCAUUUCAGAAAAUGAAAUCUGAAUUUAAGAACUCAGUUUUAGUUUAGGAAAUUUGAAUCUUUUAUAUUAGACAGUAAGCAUGACUAUCUUUUCCGCCAAUGGGAGAUGCUAUCUUACCUUGUAAGACUACAAACUCAAUCUUUGCUCUUGACUGAAACACAAUCUCUGUCUUCCAAGAAUGUGCAAUAACACAUCUUUAAAAGGAUAAUUCAGAACAGAAAAGAAUCAAUGCUUCUGCUACAAAGUAUGCAGAAACAUAAAUGAACCAAGGAGAAUCAUUUUCCUACAUAUGCCUUAUUUAGCACAUAAGGAGGUUUUAAGUUUUUUGUUUGUUUAUAUUCAUAUGUCUAUGAUUGAUUUAUC
rnacentral:lncRNA from 1 species